ensembl:snRNA U6 U6 spliceosomal RNA
GUGCUCACUUUGGCAGCAUGCAUCCUAAAAUCUGAUACAGGGAAGAUUAGUGUGGCCCCUGCACAAGGAUGACAUGCAAAUUCAUGAAGCAUUCCAUAUUUCU